rnacentral:rRNA from 1 species
GAUCAUUCAUAAUAAGUGUUUUAUGGCACUUUUUUAAAUCCAUAUCCACCUUGUGUGCAAUGUCAGGGUUGGUUUCUCUCUUUUGAGAAUCAAACCCCAAACAUCAACUCUAUCUUAACUCUUUGUCUGAAAAAUAUUAUGAAUAAAACAAUUCAAAAUACAACUUUCAACAACGGAUCUCUUGGCUCUCGCAUCGAUGAAGAACGCAGCGAAAUGCGAUACGUAAUGUGAAUUGCAGAAUUCAGUGAAUCAUCGAAUCUUUGAACGCAUAUUGCGCUCUUUGGUAUUCCGAAGAGCAUGCUUGUUUGAGUAUCAGUAAACACCUCAAAGCCUUUUUUCUUUUUUGAAGAAAGGCUUUGGACUUGAGCAAUCCCAACACCAAUCUUUUAAAGAGAGGGGGCGGGUUGCUUGAAAUGCAGGUGCAGCUGGACAUUCUCCUGAGCUAAAAGCAUAUUCAUUUAGUCCCGUCAAACGGAUUAUUACUUUUGCUGCAGCUAAUAUAAAGGGAGUUUGACCAUUUUGGCUGACUGAUGCAGGAUUUUCACAAGAGUCUUCAAAACCUCUUGUUAAACUCGAUCUCAAAUCAAGUAAGA